rnacentral:rRNA from 1 species
AGUGAACGCUGGCGGCAGGCCUAACACAUGCAAGUCGAACGGCAGCACGGCAGUAGCAAUACUGUGGGUGGCGAGUGGCGGACGGGUGAGGAAUACAUGGGAAUCUACCCUGUCGUGGGGGAUAACGUAGGGAAACUUACGCUAAUACCGCAUACGACCGAGAGGUGAAAGAGGCGGACCGCAAGGCGUCGCGGGAUGGGAUGAGCCCCUGUCGGAUUAGGUAGUUGGCGUGGUAAAGGCACACCAAGGCGACGAUCCGUAGCUGGUCUGAGCGGAUGAUCAGCCACACUGGAACUGAGACACGGUCCAGACUCCUACGGGAGGCAGCAGUGGGGAAUAUUGGACGAUGGGCGCAAGCCUGAUCCAGCCAUGCCGCCUGAGUGAAGAAGGCCUUCGGGUUGUAAAGCUCUUUUGUCCGGAAAGAAAAGCUCUCGGUUAAUACCCGGGAGUGAUGACGGUACCGGAAGAAUAAGCACCGGCUAACUUCGUGCCAGCCGCCGCCGCGG